rnacentral:lncRNA from 1 species
CAUCCUGAGGUCACUGUCUGGUGUGAGGGGAGGACAGCUGAUAACUACGUGGUUAUGCAGUGUUCCCAGGCAUCACUGGUCCCCAGCCAUGGCCUCUGCCUACCACUGCCACAAAUACAGAAGGAAUGCCAUCCCCUUCAGACUCAGCUUUAAUCCUCAGAGUUUCAUCUAGUCCUUUAUGGGCAGAUGUUACCCAAACCCAAAAUUUCCACAGGCCCUCUUGAUUUUUUCACAGUGAUCUAGAUCAGACAUUGAGCCUAUGCAUAUUACACCCCUGCACUGACUUUCUGAUUUCCAAAGCAAUUCUACAAUCUCUGCAACCCACUCAAAGUUUUUCUUUACCAUCUGGAGCCCUUCCAGAGUUGCUUCUUUGAGGUCACAAUAAGACUGUUUGUCUUUCUGUUUGCUUUGAUCUCUUGAUGGCCAGAGUCUCUGGGUAUCAUUAUCAGUAACAUCAUCAGCAACAACAACUUCUCUGGUGGUUACAUCAACACCAAAUUCAAUCUUUGUGUCAACUUGUACACAGUUCUGUGGCAACCAGGAUUUCUCCAGUAUUUUAAAAAUAACCUGUGCAGCAUGACUCACGCUAGCUACUUCACUUUGGCCUUUACCAAGUCCAGCACAGCAAAAUUUCACAGCAAUUCACUGUUUCUCAUUACUGGCAGCACCCUUGAAAACAUCUCCACAUUAGGAUAUAAUUCCAGGAGCACAAAUUCUGCUGAAUCCCAGUGCUAAGAAGUUAUGGCACCUAGUAGUCACUCAUUAGAUAUUUACUGAGUAAAUAAAAGAAAGUUACAACUCAGAAGUACUGUAUUAGAAUCCUUGCAAAGUACGUGGUUUCUCCUAGGAAAAUAUAUGAGAUACAAGAAGAGAGAUGGCUGAGGAAAACCAGGGUGUGGGGAAGGCCUGGGCCUUUGCAUCAGGGGUUUUUAAUUAGUAGUGGAACCCCAUUAUCUUGUUCCUUAACUCAGCAGCCCUGGAUUCAAAACAUCUGGGCAAGGUCAACUUUUGACUUUGUCUCUCAACCCAGAGUUUAUCCAUUUAUCCACUGAACGAAGUUGAAUGUGCUCCCAUUCUACCUCUUUUUUCUCAUGAAACUUGCAAGACUUUGGACAAACACACACACACACACACACACACACACACACACACACACACACACUAGUUUUUUAAAAAAAAAAACUUCAAAAAUAAUCUGUCUCAUUGAUCUUUCAUACACGUUUUUACUACCU